rnacentral:rRNA from 1 species
GUCUUCAUGUUAUAUAUUUGAAGUCUGGCCUGCCCACUGAACGGUGUUUAAAGGGCCGCGGUAUACUAACCGUGCGAAGGUAGCAUAAUCAAUAGUCUCUUAAUUGGAGGCUUGAAUGAAUGGUCGGACAUAAGGGGUGCUGUCUUGGAGUAUGAGAAUUAACUUGACUUUUGUGUGAAAAGGCAUUAAUGUCGUAAAGGGACGAUAAGACCCUAUAAAACUUGACGAUUAAUUAGAGUUUUGUAAUAUAUAGGUAACGUAUGAUUCGUUAGGUUGGUUGUGCUGGGGCGGCUGAAAUAUAAUUGGUAACUGUUUCUUAUAUUAAAUAAUUAUAAUUAGAUUUUGAUCCUGAAUUUUGGAUUAUAAGCUUAAGUUACUUUAGGGAUAACAGCGUUAUUUCCUUUGAGAGUUCUUAUCAACAGGGAUGUUUGCGACCUCGAUGUUGAAUUAAAGUUUUUUCCGGGAGCAGAAAUUCGGAUAAUAGGUCUGUUCGACCUUUGAAACUUUACAUGAUUUGAGUUCAAACCGGUGUGAG